GCGACUUAAGUUAACUUACGUUGUUUCAACAAUCACUACAGUAUCUGAUAGCGAUCUGGAACCAGUGGUAUGCCUCUGCAAGAUGAGGGUUUAUUAAACAAAUUGGCAAUAUAUCCAGCAGUUUUAUUUAUGCCAUGUAAGGCGAGAGGAAGUCUUUUUCCCAUACGCUGGCUUAAUUUGUUCCCUUUGGAGCCGGAUCACUUCAAAAUGAUGUGGAAAACUAUAAGCAUUUCCAAUACCACUUAAUUUAGGCAAUGAUGUUAAGACGUAUUUUCAGUUUCGUUAAUACCAUUGAUAUGUUUUGAAACGAUAAAUUCAGAUGUCAUCAAAUUGAACUCGGGAGUCAAAUUACGGAAAGCUGUUAUGGAUAUUUACGAGGAGAGUAUUGGAAAUUGGUAUACAAUAUUGAUAUUCGUUCUCUAGAGCAGAGCUCUAAACACGGACUUCUAAGUUACGAAGGAGAACAAACUAACCAAUAGUUUUAACGUUGUCUGAAACGCUGUACUACGUCGAAAUAUGAAAGGCAUCGAAACCAAAGGGUUCAUUUUGCUGCAGAUUGUCUGUUUAUUGUUGUUCCUCCUUUCAGAGGUGAACGGGAAACGUCGAUGCGGAAAGUUAUUACGGAACAUCAAACUACCUGAACACACAAAAUUUGCAACUCAACAACUAAAGGCGAAUCAUGUGACGUUGAUGUGUGACAAAGGAUAUCAUUUUAUUCAAGGAAAAAACACAGUACAUUUAUCAUGCCAGAUUUUAGAUUUCCUAGCAAGUUAUCAAAUUCCUAUGUGUAAAGGUACUACGUCGUGGGUCAGUGUGCUUUUAACCAAGUGCUGACAGUUAGCUACAAAAUUUUUAGUUAGUUACGUUUAACAUUUUCCAGGGUGUAUUUUUUUCUUGUUUUCCU